rnacentral:rRNA from 1 species
GACGAACGCUGGCGGUGUGCUUAACACAUGCAAGUCGAACGGAAAGGCCCUGCUUUCGUGGUGUGCUCGAGUGGCGAUCGGGGGAGUAACACGUGAGUAUCCUGCCCUUGUCUUUGGGAUAACUUCAGGAAACUGGGGCUACUACCGGAUAGGAGCUCCCGCUGCAUGGUGGGGGUUGGAUAUUUUCGGCGGGUGGGGAUGGACGCGCGGCUGAUCAGCUUGUUGGUGGGGUAGUGGCUUACCAAGGCUUUGACGGGUAGCCGGCCUGAGAGUGGGACCGGCGUCAUUGGGACUACGGUACGGCUCAGAGUCCUAUGGGAGGCAAUGGUGGGGAAUCUUGCCCAAUGGGCGCAAGCCGGAUGCAGCAACGCCGCGUUCGUAAUGACGGCCUUCGGGUUGUAAACCGCUUUAGCCUGUGACGAAGCGUGAGUGACGGUAAUGGGAAAAGAAGCACCGGCUGACUACGUG